GAUGAACGCUGGCGGCGUGCCUAAUACAUGCAAGUCGAGCGAAUGGAUUAAGAGCUUGCUCUUAUGAAGUUAGCGGCGGACGGGUGAGUAACACGUGGGUAACCUGCCCAUAAGACUGGGAUAACUCCGGGAAACCGGGGCUAAUACCGGAUAAUAUUUUGAACUGCAUGGUUCAAAAUUGAAAGGCGGCUUCGGCUGUCACUUAUGGAUGGACCCGCGUCACAUUAGCUAGUUGGUGAGGUAACGGCUCACCAAGGCAACGAUGCGUAGCCGACAUGAGAGGGUGAUCGGCCACACUGGGACUGAGACACGGCCCAGACUCCUACGGGAGGCAGCAGUAGGGAAUCUUCCGCAAUGGACGAAAGUCUGACGGAGCAACGCCGCGUGAGUGAUGAAGGCUUUCGGGCCGUAAAACUCUGUUGUUAGGGAAGAACAAGUGCUAGUUGAAUAAGCUGGCACCUUGACGGUACCUAACCAGAAAGCCACGGCUAACUGCGUGCCAGCCGCCGCGGUAA
rnacentral:rRNA from 1 species